GGGAAUGUGGCUCAGUGGUAGAGCACUUGUCUUGCACGCAUGAGGCCCUGGGUUUGAUUCCUACGCACUA
rfam:Dipodomys ordii contig_28203, whole genome shotgun sequence.